CCUACGGGAGGCAGCAGUGAGGAAUAUUGGUCAAUGGACGAGAGUCUGAACCAGCCAAGUAGCGUGAAGGAUGACUGCCCUAUGGGUUGUAAACUUCUUUUAUAUGGGAAUAAAAUGUUCCACGUGUGGGAUUUUGUAUGUACCUUAUGAAUAAGGAUCGGCUAACUCCGUGCCAGCAGCCGCGGUAAUACGGAGACUCCGAGCGUUUUCCGGAUGUUUUGGGGUUAAAGGGAGCGUAGGUGGAGGGUUAAGUCAGUUGUGAAAGGUUGCGGUUCAACCGUAAAAGUGCAGUUGAAACGGGCAGUCUUGAGUACAGUAGAGGUGAGCGGAAUUCGUGGUGUAGCGGUGAAAUGCUUAGAUAUCACGAAGAACUCCGAUUGCGAAGGCAGCUCACUGGACUGCAACUGACACUGAGGCGCGAAAGUGUGGGUAUCAAACAGGAUUAGAUACCCCUGUAGUC
rnacentral:rRNA from 1 species